GAAAAGAACUUUGGAGAGAGAGUUAAAAAGUACGUGAAACCGUAUAGGGGUUAAGCCCGUUGAAUCUAAAUAUCCGAUGGAUGAAAUUCAAUACUAUUUUGCAUGCAAUACUGCUCAAUAGUGUGCACUUUUCAUCUAGUAGGACACUGCAAUCCGUUAGGUUGAAUAUAGUUGCUUGCAUACUAUAUUUGAACUUAUCAAUGGAAUUCUCUUAGAUUGUUUAUCUGCUAAUAGUACUAAUAAUACUAUUCGAUAAGUCUAUUUAGGAAUUUCGAUAAUGUUUGACUGACGGAUUUACAAAAAAUCAUACAACAUGCAUAUGUAAUUCCUCACGGGGGAUUUGUAUGUAUUUGAUUUGCAGUGCACUAUAGAUUUAGAUACCUUCGGGGCCCGUCUUGAAACACGGA
rnacentral:rRNA from 1 species